AAAUUUUUUUUUCUUUUUCAAUCAAUCAUUCUCCAAAAAAAUGCUAUUCCAUUCAUUUUAAUUUGAGGGCAUUCUAUUGAUUAAAUACACAGCAGUUGAAAAGGCAUGUGACCAAAACGUUAAUGGAAGGGAUGUUUGAGAAAAUAAUGUAAGGCCAGUUUUGAUAAUGCGACGGUGUCCUCUUUCUGAGUAUCCAUUAUGUUCAGUUGUGUGAGAUGGGGUUGUUAGAUGAGAGAUGCCAUUGAGAGCUAGGCAAUCUUUAAGGCCCAUAUAUUCUCUCCGAAUAUAGAGUUUGAGUUUUGCGUUCGAAAUAAUUUUCUACAAUGGCUUUGAAUUGGAUAAAAAUUUCUUUUACUUUAGAUUUGGUUUUUUGAGGAUAUAACCAUAUAUAUUUGGUGAAGUGAUAAAAAUAAAAAAACUGACAUAAUAUUUGAAUUCAUCAUGAGAUAAAAUAGGAGAUAUCCAUACAUCAGAAAAUAUUAUUUUAAGAGGUUGCUUUGAAUCAAGAGAUGAAGUUGAAAACGACAACGUACGACUUUUAUUACAUAGACAUGCUUUGCAUGACCAACCUUCAGAAAUAGGAGAUGAUAAACCUAAAUUAAAGUGGGAAAUAAUGUGUUUUAAAAUAGGAAGAGCUGGAUGGCCUAGACGUUGAUACCAAUAUGAAGACGUAGUUUUGACAGUUGAGAGGGCAAGAAUGGGGAAAGUCAUAUAUUUGGCGAUGGCCAUUCAUACACUCCUUCCUUGGUGCUGUCCUUCAACAUAAUUGUCCCUGUGCGAAAAUCCUUCACAUGAAAAGAAGAGGGUAGAAUUCAACAGAUGCAUUAAUAGUGGUGCAAAACUGAGAAACAGAUUUUUUUUUUUUUUCAUAUUUGGAACACAAAGGACAUUAUUUAAUGUAAAUUCAGUAGUGGAGGUUGAAAGAGAGGUGGAAUCAGUUUGCGUGAUGGAAAGACCCGUGCCAUUGCCAAUCAUAACAUCAUCAGAGCCAGUAUAAGGUGUAUGAAGUGUUAAGUUGCUCAAGUCGGCUGAGACAUGAUGAGAAGCUCCGCUGUCAAGUAACCAUGAUAAGUUGUUGCAGGCAACAUUAGCCGCAUAGUGAGCUCAGGGCUGCUAAAGAAUUGUUAAUGUAUUAGUUGGUGGUGCAGAUCCCGUGUUAGUAUGUUGAAUUGAAACCAGCUGGAAUGAUAACAUUUCUUUGCAGUGUGUCCCUUAAUAUCACAAAUUUGAAAGUAACCUAGAUAGGAACAUGGUGAAGGCCGGUUACCACGAGAUGGAGCACCAUUGUUAGGGAUUCGUACAUUAAUAUUAGGCAAUAAACACCAACCUGUGUUGCCAUUAUUGGAUGAAGAAAAUGGGCUCCAACUGUUAUUGGAAUUUUUGGGACCCCAGUUGUUGUAUGUCCUAUUCAUUGGAUUGGCAGUGACUGGAAAAUUCACUUCGAAUUUGGUUUUUGCUUGAAGAGAUCUUCAAAUGUUAAAAGUUUCUCAUGAAGUUCAUCAAAUGUAAUGGGGUUGUCAUGAGCUUGAACAGCACGAACAAGUUCUUUAUAGUCAUCUCCUAGUCCAUCAAAAAUCUUCUCUGUAAGAUCGUCUUCAUACAUUGGUGCUUCAAGUAUAACUAAUUCAUCUGGACGGGUUUAACAUUAUGAAGAAAAUCAGUAAUGUUCAGAGUACCUUUACUGGAAUUUUUUAUAAGAUUUUUGACUUGUUUGAUGUGUCCACGAGAUGGUUUUGCAUGUGUUAGUAAGAAUAACCCAUGCCUCUUGAAAAGUUUUGACUCUAGCAACAAAUGGAAUGAUCAUAGGAGACAGAGAUCCAAUGAGAGCAUUCAGAAUCAGUUGAUUUUGGCGAACCCACAUGUUGUGAGCUGGAUUCGGUGUUGUAGUAUCAUUAACAGUUCGAGUCGUUGGUGGACAAGGAUUGAGGCCAUCAAUAUAUCUAAGAAGAUCAAAAAAGGUGCUACUCUGAUAACAUAUAAACAAUGGUAAAUUGGGAGAAGACUUGGUCACACGCUUCAUUGAUUUCAGGAGUGUAUAUAUAGAUCACAUUACCAGACUAAACAGAUGUAUGCCUGUAUCUAAGGAAGAAGAACUAACAACUUACAGUUAAGAAAUAUCAUAACCAAAUAAUUUCAAAAGUUAAAUUCAAAUUACAGAUAAUACAAAUACAGUUUAUAAGCAUAACAUCUUUGUUAGAACAAAAAAAAUCUGGUAAUUGCGGACCCAAUUAGUUUGUUUCAUGGUGAUAGUUCUUGUGUGAUCAUUGGCUAAGAAAAAUGAGAUUAUCAAUCAAGUUUGCAACAGACGAAGGUUUGUUAUCUUCAUAGCAAUGAAGUCCAUAUCAUAGUCUAUUUUUCCAACAUCGAUGGACAAGGUGUCUGACUAUGAUCAGAAUACUUCCCUCAAGUCAAAUAGAUAUUGAUAGACCUCAAAAAUUAUGAGGGAGGCAGUCAGUGUACUCCAUGUUUGUUGGCAUAACAGAAAUGAAAACAUAUGGCUUUUCAUAAGUACACGUCUACUGGAAAUUUGGAAGAAAAAGAAAAAGAAAAAUAUUAUGUAACUGCCAUUUGCCAAUCAUCAUAUUCUAUCUUGUUUAUAUGACUUCACAGGACAUGCAUUUAAGAUUUGGAUUCCAAAUAAGUUAUUAUAUUUGGUGUUUAUUCAUUUCAAAAGGUACUUUGGUUCCAUUGAAUUUAUAUUGAUAAUUGGAUGAUAUCAUAAUAUAUAUCCUUUUUUAAAGCCCAAUAUGGAUAGUUGCUUGUCUAAAAGCACUUGUUGCAUGACAAUGAGCAUGUGUUCGUGAUAUAAAGAUAAAAGGUAGGCAAGGCAUUGGGUUUUCUUCUAAAGAAUUAAUUGUUUGGAUGCUAACAUUAAAAUCAAAGGAAAUGAAUGAUGACUUACUGACUGUGUUUAGUUAUAUAUGAUUGCACGUAGAUGCAAGUUUUGGAAAUGAAAUGGUACGAAAACUACAUUGGUAAGUAAGGGAAUGUUCUUAAAACCUACUAUAUAAUGAUAUUUGUAAUGGUAACCCAACCGUGCUCAAUGACAAUCCCAAGAUGUUGGUUCAAUGGGACAACUAAGUUUUGAAGAUUCAAUAAGCACUUGAGAGUUAUCUCCUACACAUUCCUAAAAUAAGAAAAGUGUUACCUACAAAAGUUUUAGAUUAAUUUAUACUUUUAAUGAUUCUUAUAUCUUAGAGAAACCAAGUGGAAUACGGUAGGUACUCUUACUAGGAGAUCGCCUAUAUAUGUGAAGUGGGGCCACUACCUUUAUAAUAUUUCAAAGUUUGAAUUCACUAAAAUACUUUUUUUUUUUUUUUUUUUUGAUAAUCCAGGUGUCCCAGCUUAGCCGGACUAAAUCCUGGACCUCUAGCCCCCGGCCCCUCAGUGACUAGUGGAGGUAAAUCGCAGGUUGUGCCCUUGUUGGUUCCCAGGUUCCCACAUGGCUUUUACUCCUUCCCCAAAGAGACCCUCCUCCAUGGUUAUUACAUCACCAAGCUGCUCCAACCCUUCCUCUGGUUAUUACAUCACUUGGCUGCUCCAACCAGGAAUCGAACUCCCCACACUUGGUUCCAGAGCCC
rnacentral:lncRNA from 1 species